rnacentral:rRNA from 1 species
GUCCUGGCAGUAAACGGUGCACGUUUGGUGUGGGAGGAUUCGACCCCUUCCGUGCCGGAGCUAACGCGUUAAACGUGCCGCCUGGGAAGUACGGUCGCAAGAUUAAAACUCAAAGAAAUUGACGGGGCCCGCACAAGCGGUGGAGUAUGUGGCUUAAUUCGAUGCAACGCGAAGAACCUUACCAGGGUUUGACAUGCAUCUCUAAGUCGGUGAAAGCCGGCGAGUGUAGCAAUACACAAUUUGCACAGGUGCUGCAUGGCUGUCGU